rnacentral:rRNA from 1 species
UAUUUAACCAGAAAGCCACGGCUAACUACGUGCCAGCAGCCGCGGUAAUACGUAGGUGGCAAGCGUUGUCCGGAUUUAUUGGGCGUAAAGCGAGCGCAGGCGGUUUUUUAAGUCUGAUGUGAAAGCCUUCGGCUCAACCGAAGAAGUGCAUCGGAAACUGGGAAACUUGAGUGCAGAAGAGGACAGUGGAACUCCAUGUGUAGCGGUGAAAUGCGUAGAUAUAUGGAAGAACACCAGUGGCGAAGGCGGCUGUCUGGUCUGUAACUGACGCUGAGGCUCGAAAGUAUGGGUAGCAAACAGGAUUAGAUACCCUGGUAGUCCAUACCGUAAACGAUGAAUGCUAAGUGUUGGAGGGUUUCCGCCCUUCAGUGCUGCAGCUAACGCAUUAAGCAUUCCGCCUGGGGAGUACGGCCGCAAGGCUGAAACUCAAAGGAAUUGACGGGGGCCCGCACAAGCGGUGGAGCAUGUGGUUUAAUUCGAAGCUACGCGAAGAACCUUACCAGGUCUUGACAUACUAUGCAAAUCUAAGAGAUUAGACGUUCCCUUCGGGGACAUGGAUACAGGUGGUGCAUGGUUGUCGUCAGCUCGUGUCGUGAGAUGUUGGGUUAAGUCCCGCAACGAGCGCAACCCUUAUUAUCAGUUGCCAGCAUUAAGUUGGGCACUCUGGUGAGACUGCCGGUGACAAACCGGAGGAAGGUGGGGAUGACGUCAAAUCAUCAUGCCCCUUAUGACCUGGGCUACACACGUGCUACAAUGGAUGGUACAACGAGUUGCGAACUCGCGAGAGUAAGCUAAUCUCUUAAAGCCAUUCUCAGUUCGGAUUGUAGGCUGCAACUCGCCUACAUGAAGUCGGAAUCGCUAGUAAUCGCGGAUCAGCAUGCCGCGGUGAAUACGUUCCCGGGCCUUGUACACACCGCCCGUCACACCAUGAGAGUUUGUAACACCCAAAGUCGGUGGGGUAACCUUUUAGGAACCAGCCGCCUAAGUGGACAGGAUGGGG